rnacentral:rRNA from 1 species
UACGGAGGGUGCGAGCGUUAAUCGGAAUUACUGGGCGUAAAGGGUGCGUAGGUGGUUGAUUAAGUUAUCUGUGAAAUUCCUGGGCUUAACCUGGGACGGUCAGAUAAUACUGGUUGACUCGAGUAUGGGAGAGGGUAGUGGAAUUUCCGGUGUAGCGGUGAAAUGCGUAGAGAUCGGAAGGAACACCAGUGGCGAAGGCGGCUACCUGGCCUAAUACUGACACUGAGGCACGAAAGCGUGGGGAGCGAACAGG